rnacentral:rRNA from 1 species
AGUGAACGCUGGCGGCGUGCCUAAUACAUGCAAGUCGAACGGAGUGGCGCACGGGUGAGUAAUAUAUAGCAAAUCUGCUCCUUGCUGGAGGAAAAAAGUUAGAAAUGACUGCUAAUACUCCAUAGCAAGGGAUGAGACUAUAUCGUAUCAGCUAGUCGGUGGGGUAACGGCCUACCGAGGCUAUGACGCGUAACUGGUCUGAGAGGAUGAUCAGUCACAUUGGAACGGAGACACGGUCAAAACUCCUAAGGGAGGCAGCAGUAGGCAAUAUUGCGCAAUGGGGGAAACCCUGACGCAGCAUCGCCGCGUGUAGGAUGACACUUUUCGGAGCGUAAACUACUUGUGUUAGCGAAGCGGUACCUAACGAAUAAGCACCGGCUAACUCCGUGCCAGCAGCCGCGGUAAUAC